rnacentral:rRNA from 1 species
AUACGGAGGGAGCAAGCGUUAUUCGGAAUCACUGGGCGUAAAGGACGCGUAGGCGGGUUUGUAAGUCCGGUGUGAAAUCCUACAGCUCAACUGUAGAACUGCACUUGAAACUACAGACCUAGAGUAUGGAAGGGGCAGAUGGAAUUAGUGGUGUAGGGGUAAAAUCCGUAGAUAUCACUAGGAAUACCGAAAGCGAAGGCGAUCUGCUGGGACAUUACUGACGCUGAGGCGUGAAAGCGUGGGGAGCAAACAGGAUUAGAUACCCCGGUAGUCC